AUUGUUGGAUACGGCCAAGAUGGCGACAAGCAACUCGAACCUUGUUCACGGAAUGCACCCGUCUACUAUAACUCCCGAUGCGUGACGUCAGAGACACGUGACUGCAGCAGAGGGUCGUAAAUACCUCAUUACCUGCGUCGCCCCCCGUCUCUGUUCAGCAAUGGAAAUUGGGCGUAGAUGUAAAUUUGGGGCAGGGACUAGAUUUCCUGUGCUUAGCCGUGACGUCCUUGGAAGACCUUGCACUGCUCAUCACUUAAGACAGUUAAGAUCUAUACUCCUUUCAUCGCACUCAUUGACCGCUCUGACUUUGCCAACAGCAAUUAUGUUUACAUGUAUUGCGAGGAUUAUGGCAAAACGUGUGUGUUCAAUUAUCAGUCUUUGUGUAGAACAACGUACAAGUAGCUUCCAUAAAUUCAGCAUGGUUUUAAAAACAGUACUAGCUACUUUAUUUAUUCACUAAAAUUUUCAAAAAUACAAUGGUAAGCAUGACGGAACAGGUAUCUCUUGAUAGAAGACGCCGUUUCAAGGCCGCUAUAACGAAAC